rnacentral:rRNA from 1 species
GUGGGGAAUCUUCCACAAUGGACGAAAGUCUGAUGGAGCAACGCCGCGUGAGUGAAGAAGGGUUUCGGCUCGUAAAGCUCUGUUGUCGGGGACGAAUGUGCAGUAUUUGAAUAAAGUACUGCAAUGACGGUACCUGACGAGGAAGCCACGGCUAACUACGUGCCAGCAGCCGCGGUAAUACGUAGGUGGCAAGCGUUGUCCGGAAUUAUUGGGCGUAAAGGGAGCGCAGGCGGGAAGGUAAGUCGGUCUUAAAAGUGCGGGGCUCAACCCCGUGAUGGGAUCGAAACUAUCUUUCUUGAGUGCAGGAGAGGAAAGUGGAAUUCCUAGUGUAGCGGUGAAAUGCGUAGAUAUGGGGAGGAACACCAGUGGCGAAGGCGGCUUUCUGGACGGUGUCUGACACUGAGGCGCGAAAGCCAGGGGAGCGAACGGGAUUAGAAACCCUUGUAGUCC